AUUGAACGCUGGCGGCAUGCCUUACACAUGCAAGUCGAACGGCAGCACGGGAGCAAUCCUGGUGGCGAGUGGCGAACGGGUGAGUAAUAUAUCGGAACGUGCCCGGUCGUGGGGGAUAACGUAGCGAAAGCUACGCUAAUACCGCAUACGAUCUACGGAUGAAAGCGGGGGAUCGCAAGACCUCGCGCGAUUGGAGCGGCCGAUAUCAGAUUAGGUAGUUGGUGAGGUAAAGGCUCACCAAGCCGACGAUCUGUAGCUGGUCUGAGAGGACGACCAGCCACACUGGGACUGAGACACGGCCCAGACUCCUACGGGAGGCAGCAGUGGGGAAUUUUGGACAAUGGGCGCAAGCCUGAUCUAGCAAUGCCGCGUGCAGGAUGAAGGCCUUC
rnacentral:rRNA from 1 species